UACGGGGGGGGUAAGCGUUGUUCGGAAUUACUGGGCGUAAAGGGCUCGUAGGCGGCCAACUAAGUCAGACGUGAAAUCCCUCAGCUUAACUGGGGAACUGCGUCUGAUACUGGAUGGCUUGGAUCCGGGAGAGGGAUGCGGAAUUCCAGGUGUAGCGGUGAAAUGCGUAGAUAUCUGGAGGAAUACCGGUGGCGAAGGCGGCAUCCUGGACCGAGAUUGACACUGAUGAGCGAAAGCUAGGGGAGCAAACGGG
rnacentral:rRNA from 1 species